AAACUUGAAGACGAAGAAAUUGCCUCCUACAUCCUCUCCGGCCUCGACAUCGAGUACAAUCGCGUGGUGUCGGCCAUUCCGGCUCGGACGGAGCCGAUCUCCUUGGGUGAGUUGUUCACAUACCUUUCAUCAUUUGAGC